rnacentral:rRNA from 1 species
CCUACGGGUGGCAGCAGUGAGGAAUAUUGGUCAAUGGACGAGCGUCUGAACCAGCCAAGUCGCGUGAAGGAUGACUGCCCUAUGGGUUGUAAACUUCUUUUAUAUGGGAAUAAAAUGUUCCACGUGUGGGAUUUUGUAUGUACCUUAUGCAUAAGGAUCGGCUAACUCCGUGCCAGCAGCCGCGGUAAGACGGCGGGUCCGAGCGUUAUCCGGAUUUCUUGGGUUUAAAGGGAGCGUAGGUGGAUUGUUAAGUCAGUUGUGAAAGUUUGCGGCUCAACCGUAAAAUUGCAGUUGAUACUGGCAGUCUGGAGUACAGUAGAGGUGGGCGGAAUUCGUGGUGGAGCGGUGAAAUGCGUAGAUAUCACGAAGAACUCCGAGUGCGAAGGCAGCUCACUGGACUGCAACUGACACUGAGGCUCGAAAGUGUGGGUAUCAAACAGGAUUAGAUACCCGAGUAGUC